CGCAGUAGUGAGGCAGCGGAUCCUCUUCGAUCCAGACUCUCGUUCUGGCACGGAGGUCGGGAGAGCGAACGCUCUGACCCCUAGUGAACCCAUGGCGUCACGUGCCCAGUGGCUGGGGCCGCUGAACAGGACUUUUCUGCACAUCCCUCACCCUAGAGGAACGGCAGAAACCACAUCCCGGAAAGGUAAUGAGCGCUGGCUCUGAGGCUUGGCCUUUUAGGCUGGUAGCGUCUAGGCGCGGGUUCCAUCGCGCGCUGGCCCCUCUGGAGCAAGAGCGGGAAGAUGCCCGGGCAGCGCCACCCCGCGGCCUGCGGAAAGCUUCUACCGGUCCCCACCACCCAAUUAUGGUGACUCUCUUAAAAUACAGACAAACUUGCUGGUGUCCACAAUACUCAUUUUUAAAACAGGCUUGACUACCUCAUCUGUGAGUUGCCAACUCCAGAGUUGUUCCUGACUUGGAGCCAGUGCCAAGAGAUGAACUGAACUCUGCGUUGGAGCUUUUGGUAACUAGAAGUCAGGCAUCGCAAAGGUCCCUUGCAACAAGUGAGGAACAAGCAAAAACUCUCCAGUGUGUUGAUGGUUUGACAACUGGACUCUGCCCAUGCGGACCAAUCACCAAAAAGUGCUGAAAUACAAACUUGGAGCACCCUACAACUGAACUAUAUCCUCAGUCCUUAUUAUUUUUUAUUUUGAGAUAAGCUGUAGUAAAGUGUCUCAGGCUAGGCUGGAACUUUUGAUCCUCAUGUCUCCACAGUGUGUGUCUGACACUUUAUACAAAAUGUUUGCUGAUCCCUGAUGUAGCAUAGAUACUUAGGACAUUGUGAAGAUGUUUGCUUUAACAAAAAGAAAUGAGAAUCCAUGGGAGAAUUCAAGCAGAAGGGUGGUAAAUUCUGACUUCUGUUUUGAAAGGGUCAUUGUUGCUCCAGUGUUGAUAAAUUUUGGGGAUCAAGGGAGAAAUCAGGGGAUUUGCACCAAAGGGCAUAAUACACCCAUGGCCCUCUGUCCUCCAAUGGGUGUUGCCUUGAAGCUAUUGUGGGCCCAUUUGAGAAGAUGAACUGAAACUGUAUUUUGCCUAAUUAGAAAAUCAGUACGGUUGGUCCUCUAUGUCCAUGGGUUCCACACCUGUCAGUUCAACCAACCUGAAAUACGCAGAAGAGAUACUGAGUUGCAGUGAACAGAUUUAAUGUUACAGAUUUUUUUCUUACAAUUUCUACCUAACCAAGAUAGUAUAAAAACUAUAUAUGUAGCAUUUACAUUGUGUUGAGUAUGAUGAAUAAUUAGAGGUGAUUUAAAUAUUACAGGAGCAAAUAUGUAAGUUCUUUGCAAAUACUUUAACCUUCUAUAUGAGACUUGAGCACUGAUGAUUUUGGUAUCACUGAGGGGUCCUGGAACCAACUGCUGUGGAUACUGAAGGGUGACUCUAGACAGAAAGCUCUUGUGAUGGAAUAUGAAGACUGAUGCAGUCACUGUUUAGCCCAGGCUGGCCUCUAACUCAGGGUAAUCCUCCUGCCUCAGCCUCCUUAGUGCUGGGAUUACAGAUGUGAGCCACCACACCUGGCUCUACUAUAUUUCUUUAUUUAAUUUUAUGGCAUAUUUUGAAAAGUGUAUCGGAAUAAGUAAAUUUAUACAUAUAUAUGGCAAACUAUAGUACCUAAAUUGUUUUGUGCUAUCUUUGCAACUGUGCAGUUCUUACCUUGCAUUACCAUUUUAUGUCAUGCUUUCCAUAUGUCUUCUCCUGAAAGAAAAACUACAAUUUCUGCAAUAAAGUAUAUUUAGCAGCAAUCUUUGGCUCUUCUUGAUCCUUCUUCUUCAUGGCUUCAGGCUCUGGUCUCUGUUCUGUUGUGCUCUGUUGACGUUACUGGCUCAGGAAUAUUGGGUUGCCUUCGUGGAAUUGGUUGGAGGCAGAAGUCUAGGAGUCGAAACUAGUUUUGAGGCUUAGCCCCAGAAUUUGGACGCAGACAUGGCAACAGGUUCCCACUGGAGAGAAUCACAAGGUGAUGUUUUGUAGGCUGCAGGCCUAGAGGUGGCAGACUGAUGAAUACUAAGCUGGGUUGAGGUGGUUUAACCCAGUUUGUUGGCAUUAUUCAAAAUUCUCUGAGUUGCUUGCUUGCAUCUGUCAAAAAGGUAUUGGAAAGAGGUGAUUAGAGUGGAUUGACUGCAAUAGAUUGAUCUGUGUUAGGAGAUUAUGCAAGGUAAGCUACACUGGUCCUGCAUGAAGCUAGACGCUGUGGCCUUUGAGAAACUAAUUGAAUUUGGGUCUUACUGUGUUUUAGAAAAAGCAAAGGUAUUAACUUGUCUUUCCAUCAUGGUGCCCAAUCAUUCAGGCAUGGAGAUGGAGACUUUGGUUUAUACUGCUUUAUGGUUUCUGGGAUUUGACUUGAAUCUUCUUGUGCUGUUUCCCCUAACACAGGGCCCCCAGCCACAGUUCAGUUGUUGGCAACGGCUUGGGGUCUUCACUGCUGCUCAAGGUUCCCACAGCCCAAGAGGCACAAAUCCCAGUUCACUCUUCCCCAGUGCGUGACAACCUGCACUGUCUCUCGCGUGUGUAUAUCUGCACAGCUUUAGUAUCUUUAGGGCUCUCCUUGCCAAGUGUUGGUUGAUUUCUCUUGAGCUUCAUGUUGGUAACAGUUGGCUUUUCUUCUGCCUUGACAUUUUGCCCCUAUUGCUUCCCCUCUUCUACCUUUUUGUAGUUUUUUUCCUCUGAUCCUCUUGGCCCUUACUUGCCAUAGUAUUUAGCUUGGCUGGUCCUGCUGGAUGCUUUUCUGAGGUCUGCCAUUCAGAUGCUUAUCUCUGUCCACAGGAAUCCUGUUGUUGGCUACAGGACUUCAAAUAACCACUUUUCCCUCUAACAUUCUCUGGGUUCUUUAGCUGGAUUGGGACCUCAGGAGCUCUUGUGGCUGGUUUGAAGGAUUUAUGCUUGUUCCUCCUCACUUGAUGCAAGGGAUCCUUUGUGACACCUGAGUUUUUCUGCACCUGAUUAACCUCAAUGGCUCCAGUAUCUUUGGCUUUGAAUGGUAUAGGAUGGUUGGAUUGGUCAAGAUCAUCCAAGAAAUGGAAAAGCUAGGGAAAGUAAAUGUGCUCUAUCAGGAUAGCACAUCUGCAAAUCCAGAGCUCCACUUAAUCCCAUUUUCAACUGUCCCUUCUUCUUUAAGACUCAGGGGAGGCUUUCUCCAGUUGACAUUUUUAAUCACACUUCUCCUUAGCUACAGGAUUAAUAAGGGUCAGAACCACAUGUGCAUCAAUGAUUUCUAAGGGAAAUAGCAGUAGAUCUUGAAUGCCUGUCAGGAUUCAGUAUGUAUUCAGAGGUUUGAAAGCUUUGUUUGCAUCUCCUCCUAUUUCUUCUGUUUGUUCCUCACAUGUAGCUGGAGACAAUAGCAGAUUAGUAGAAUUAUGUACUAGAGAAGUUGUUGAAAUGUUCCAAAGCUCAGGUGAUAGGUUACCCUCAAGUAUCUAGAUAUUUCUGCUAUUGCAAAAUGGGGAAUUCUGGAGGAUUUUGGCAGACAAAACAUCUGUUUUGGAGUUUACAGCCCUAGGGACAUCUUUGUCCCUGAGGAAAUCUUCAUCACUACAAAAGAGUCAAGGAAAAAAUUAUUCUAUAAUAAGUGAAUUGAUCCUCCUCCAAACCAGCACACCAAUAGUGAGCAAGGCAUUUCCAAUGGUUCUUUUUAAGGAGCAUGGCCCUGCUUUAGGAGAUAUGAGGUACAAAAGCAAGACAGAUACUGAGCCAUGUGAUUUGGACAGAAUCUCUAACACACUGCAUCUUAAAUCCUGACAAAAAGGAAAAUUAAGCUCUUUCUACCAUGGAAGUGAGAGCUGCAGAGAGCUGGAGGUUCCAAGGGAUGGUGGGUGUGGACAUUUUCUGGAGGAAGCUAGAGGGCCAAGAAAACAUGGGUAAGUGUGACAGAUUCUCACUAUAUUUGAGUAUAAUUUCUCCUAAGGUCCUUGCAGUCAGGAAGUCUCUAAGACUCCAGCAACAAACUAUUCCAUGAGGUCCAGCAAUGAAAUAGUUUCAAAUGGCCUUUAAGUGCUAGAGUGGUUUGGAGUUCUUUCAGUGAACUGCCUUUUCUCUCACCUUGGGCACUGAAGAUCCAAGAGGUCCUGGUUGCAUGUGCUCUCUGGGCCAAAAGCGGCCUCUCCCCACCCUGUGCUGCCCCUGAGCCUGCACUCACCUCAACUCAUACCUAUGAGUCAUAGAAUUGAAUCCUUUCAGACCUAGGAGAUCCUUAAGAACGUAUAACUUUAUCAGGAGGGAGCAAACAGAGUCAGAGAGGUCCCACUGACUUAGUCUAAGUUUUCCCAUGGUUUAAGUUUUAGGACCAGGUUACAGAACCUGUCUCAUUUCCAGGAGUUCUAUGCUCAGCAAAGACUUAAAACUGAAAGAAAAAGAACUUUUAACAUUGGCAUUUUUCUGUUGUUCAUUAGAAGGAAGUAUUGCUAUUGCCAGUGUUAUCUUCCAUUUUUCAUUUUGUGUAUUGUCUGUAUUAUCCUUGAUUAAAAUUAGGACUUUUGGCACCAUGUUUUUGAAAACAGAGUUUUUGUUUUUCCAUUCCCAAGACUUGUCAAGUCAAAGGGCCAUUCUCAGUGGAUAUGGAUCAUGAUGUGUAGGGAAUUGUUAUGUGAGUGAUGCUGUGAACUGGACAAACUAAUAUUCAGUAUGAGCUGCCUUCCUGCCCAUUCUCUAAGUCAAGUGUUCUUGAAAUGAUGGUUAAACAGUAAAACAAAGAAAGCUAAUUAUUUCACUGCUAUGAGGCUUAAUAUAUAAAACUUGUUCCCUGCAGUAACCUCAAGAGCUGCUGAUUGACUCAUGUAUCUUGGCACCAGUAAACCUGCUGGGUGACACUUUGACUGGACUGAAUCCUACCUUCUCGCUCUGUGAGUCCACCUGCUCUGCUAUAGAUUUGGCUCAAUUUCUCCUGUUAAGAAUGGAUAUUUCCACAUGUGAUUCCUGAAGGCAUUUGGAAGAGCCUUUGCACAUUUCCACUUUUGUUUUAAUCUCUUCAAGGACCUUGAACUUGGUCUCAGUUAGACUGCUGGAACAGAAUGAAGCCCAGAUCCCUAAACAGAAGCCAACUGAGGAUACUUGUACAGAUAUGCUGAAACCAGCAAAGUCCCAGCUAAACUCAAUAAAACUGCCGGCCCACAA